GACGAACGCUGGCGGCGUGCUUAACACAUGCAAGUCGAACGGAAAGGCCCUGCUUUUGUGGGGUGCUCGAGUGGCGAACGGGUGAGUAACACGUGAGUAACCUGCCCUUGACUUUGGGAUAACUUCAGGAAACUGGGGCUAAUACCGGAUAGGAGCUCCUGCUGCAUGGUGGGGGUUGGAAAGUUUCGGCGGUUGGGGAUGGACUCGCGGCUUAUCAGCUUGUUGGUGGGGGAGUGGCUUACCAAGGCUUUGACGGGUAGCCGGCCUGAGAGGGUGACCGGCCACCUUGGGACUGAGAUACGGCCCAGACUCCUACGGGAGGCAGCAGUGGGGAAUAUUGCACAAUGGGCGGAAGCCUGAUGCAGCAACGCCGCGUGCGGGAUGACGGCCUUCGGGUUGUAAACCGCUUUCGCCUGUGACGAAGCGUGAGUGACGGUAAUGGGUAAAGAAGCACCGGCUAACUACGUG
rnacentral:rRNA from 1 species